rnacentral:lncRNA from 1 species
GUUAGGUGAAAAGGAGAAGGAAGAAGAAAAGGAACAUGAGAAAAAAAAUACCUCAGCCUCAAAGACAAAGGCAAAACUAAACAUGCGGACUCCUUAAGCCCCUGUUGACUGAUUUUACUUUCCACAGUUUCAGUGAGGCAUGGUCAAGCACUACGCAGAAAUACGAAAUGGCAAAUUUCAAGCAAUAACCAGUUGCACCAUCACAGAUGUGACCGAACUGCUACAGCAUCACCUGCCUAUAUCAACUUUUCAACUCAUCCAUGAAGUUAUGGGACCACCACUGCACAUGUGGUCUGUCACUGACCAAAAUGCCAUUAUGCAAUGCAAACUCUGCUCAGGCAAGACUCCAGACCUAGGCAGCCAGGGCUCUGGGAAGGGUCCAGAAAUUUCUGAGUAUUCCAGGUGAUUCUGGUGCACAUAUUCAGGUUUGGGAACCACUGAGUGAGGAGAACGCAGCACUGUAAAAUCAGAGCUGCUACUUCUAAGCAAUAUUUUAUGGAGCAAUAGCCACAAAUGGACCAUACAGGUGAAAAACUUCACAAGAUUGGCAGCAAAAGUAAUAGCAGGAAGUGAUGUAUUAAAACACUUGAAAUUGUAUCUUGUGGUAUUUGCUUGAAAAAUAAUAGAAAUAGUAAGUGUGGAGAAAUAAUAAGGAAAAGUGGCAGGAG